rnacentral:rRNA from 1 species
UACAGAGGUCCCAAGCGUUGUUCGGAUUCAUUGGGCGUAAAGGGUGCGUAGGUGGCUAGGUAAGUCGGAUGUGAAAUUCCGGGGGCUCAACCCCCGGAACUGCAUUCGAUACUGCUUGGCUUUGAGUACUGGAGAGGAGAUUGGAUUUACGGUGUAGCAGUGAAAUGCGUAGAUAUCGUAAGGAAGACCGGUGGCGAAGGCGGAUCUCUGGACAGUUACUGACACUGGAGGCACGAAGGCCAGGGGAGCAAACGGG